AACGAACGCUGGCGGCAUGCCUAACACAUGCAAGUCGAACGUGAUCCGGGACUUCGGUUUCGGUGAAAGUGGCGGACGGGUGAGUAACGCGUGGGAACCUGCCCAGUGGUAGGGGAUAACCGCGGGAAACUGCGGCUAAUACCCUAUGUGCCCUGCGGGGCAAAGAUUCAUCGCCAUUGGAGGGGCCCGCGUCGGAUUAGGUAGUUGGUGGGGUAACGGCCUACCAAGCCUUCGAUCCGUAGCUGGUCNGAGAGGAUGAUCAGCCACACUGGGACUGAGACACGGCCCAGACUCCUACGGGAGGCAGCAGUGGGGAAUCUUGGUCAAUGGGCGCAAGCCUGAACCAGCGACGCCGCGU
rnacentral:rRNA from 1 species